rnacentral:rRNA from 1 species
UCCUACGGGAGGCAGCAGUGGGGAAUUUUGGACAAUGGACGCAAGUCUGAUCCAGCCAUGCCGCGUGCAGGAUGAAGGCCUUCGGGUUGUAAACUGCUUUUGUACGGAACGAAAAGCCUCUUUCUAAUACAGGGGGGUGAUGACGGUACCGUAAGAAUAAGCACCGGCUAACUACGUGCCAGCAGCCGCGGUAAUACGUAGGGUGCAAGCGUUAAUCGGAAUUACUGGGCGUAAAGCGUGCGCAGGCGGUUUUGCAAGACAGUGGUGAAAUCCCCGGGCUCAACCUGGGAACUGCCAUUGUGACUGCAAGGCUGGAGUGCGGCAGAGGGGGAUGGAAUUCCGCGUGUAGCAGUGAAAUGCGUAGAUAUGCGGAGGAACACCGAUGGCGAAGGCAAUCCCCUGGGCCUGCACUGACGCUCAUGCACGAAAGCGUGGGGAGCAAACAGGAUUAGAUACCCUGGUAGUCCACGCCCUAAACGAUGUCAACUGGUUGUUGGGGAUUUAUUUCUUCAGUAACGAAGCUAACGCGUGAAGUUGACCGCCUGGGGAGUACGGCCGCAAGGUUAAAACUCAAAGGAAUUGACGGGGACCCGCACAAGCGGUGGAUGAUGUGGUUUAAUUCGAUGCAACGCGAAAAACCUUACCCACCUUUGACAUGUACGGAAUCCUGCAGAGAUGCGGGAGUGCUCGCAAGAGAGCCGUAACACAGGUGCUGCAUGGCUGUCGUCAGCUCGUGUCGUGAGAUGUUGGGUUAAGUCCCGCAACGAGCGCAACCCUUGCCAUCAGUUGCUACGAAAGGGCACUCUGAUGGGACUGCCGGUGACAAACCGGAGGAAGGUGGGGAUGACGUCAAGUCCUCAUGGCCCUUAUAGGUGGGGCUACACACGUCAUACAAUGGCUGGUACAAAGGGCUGCCAACCCGCAAGGGGGAGCCAAUCCCAUAAAGCCAGUCGUAGUCCGGAUCGCAGUCUGCAACUCGACUGCGUGAAGUCGGAAUCGCUAGUAAUCGUGGAUCAGCAUGUCACGGUGAAUACGUUCCCGGGUCUUGUACACACCGCCCGUCACACCAUGGGAGCGGGUUCUGCCAGAAGUGGUUAGCCUAACCGUAAGGAGGGCGAUCACCACGGCAGGGUUCGUGACUGGGGUGAAGUCGUAACAAGGUAACCA